GCCUUGGUAGCUCAAUUGGCUAGAGCGUGGGACUUUUAUCCGAUCAGAUUGCGGAAUCCCAAGGUUGCGGGUUCGACCCCCGCCUGAGGCG